AGACACGUAGCUCAGUUUGGUUAGAGUACCACCUUGACAUGGUGGGGGUCGUCGGUUCAAGUCCGACCGUGUCUACCA
rnacentral:tRNA from 1 species